ensembl:lncRNA
CUGAGUUCUUACUUUGUUAGUUGUUAGUUAUUUAGUUGUGCCACAUGUCUUAGAAUGUUAAUGUGUGUCAGUAAAAGUUGGUUAAUGCACACUUGGCACAACUAAAUAACUAACUCAUUAAAAUGAACCAACUUAUACUGAUAUUCAUUUACAUUCUAAAACACUAGGUUAAACUCAAUAACUAAUAAAUGAAUUAACAAACAAACGGAUUCAGUACUGAAACUCAUUUACAUUCUAAGGCACUUGGCACAAAUAUGAUGAAGCACUGAGUGGCGCACACCAAAUGGCCGCUUGACCAUGCUGUAUUGUGCAUCACACAUCAGCCUGACGUCUCCAUAUGCUCUCGUUGCCAUUGGAGAUGUAGUAUCUUUUGUCUGCCUCCAGCAUCACUCCACCGUCACCCUUCUGUGAUUGCUGAAACGGACCCAAUCAGUAUUUGGUUUGGAGCUCCAUGUACUGCACAAGUUUGUAAAUCCAGAUGAUCAUGUUCUCCAACAAGAUUUGAAAAAUGCUAAAAAAUGGUCUCUUCUCCGUGGCUCCCGUAAAAUGAAAGUGUGGUUUUUCUCUGGUUCUGUGCAGCAGAGGAUGCCCUGUGGAUCGAUCAGUGGCCUUCCAUCAGGUGGCUGCUAAUGAAUGAGAUGAGAGUGGGAGGGUGAGUCUAGUGAAGUAUUGCUCUCUUCAGCAGAGUUCUUGUCUCCGGGUCUGACAGCAUCCUCCCCCCGGCCGCUUCACCACUAUCUGUCCAGUCACUAUCAAUUACUAAGCUCUGAAACAUCCUGCACCCUGUACACCUUCCACGGCGAGUGUGAAUGCACAUGUCGGGGCCUUGACCUGCUAUGUGUGUGCGUGCCGCAUGUCAGGAAACGAGAGGACAAAGAUGUUGGAGCUCUGGUACAGUGGUCAACCCAUGCAGUAUUAAUGGAGAGGCUCAGCUGGCCAGAGAGAAAUGGUUAUGAGUACCAAGCUUUUGGAAAGUUUGCAAUAUUCUCAAAGAGCUCUGAAGGAGACCGGCACAGAAAUGGGGAUGGAAAGAAUGGGAUUCGGUAUAUGCUGAUGAAGAGGAAUUCAAGAUUGAUGAUGAUGAAUCAUGAUGAGUCACUGUAAAAAAGUCAGAGACUAGUGCAAUGUGGUGAUAAUAACAACAGCUGUGGUCAUGAAAUGAUUCAGACAUCUGCUCCCCAUUGAAUAUUUUGUUUACUCUCAUAAUGAGGCAACAGCUUAUUUAGCAUGUUUUAUUAUUACUGAACUAAUCAAUGCAGGGGACUACAGAGUGUGUCCUGGGUCAUGUUCAUCCAGUGUGGCUUACUACGUCAGCCUGGAAAGUUUCGAAAG